rnacentral:rRNA from 1 species
CUCAACCGGGGAAUCGCAGGGCGAACUGCGCGUCUUGAGGCAGGCAGAGGCCGUCGGAACGCUCGGUGGAGCGGUGAAAUGCAUAGAUAUCGAGCGGAACGCCGAUGGAGAAGUCAGGCAGCUGGGCCUGUCCUGACGCUGAGGCACGAAAGCGUGGGGAGCGAACGGGAUUAGAUACCCCGGUAGUCCACGCCCUAAACAUUGCGCACUAGGUCGGGGGCGUUUUGACGCGCUCUCGGCCGAAGAGAAAUCGUUAAGUGCGCCGCCUGGGGAGUACGGUCGCAAGGCUAAAACUCAAAGGAAUUGACGGGGGCUCACACAAGCGGUGGAGCAUGUUGCUUAAUUCGAAGCAACGCGAAGAACCUUAUCCUGGGCUUGACAUGCGCGGAUUAGUUCGUGGAAACACGGAUGACGCCUUCGGGUGGAACG